rnacentral:rRNA from 1 species
GAUUAACGCUAGCGGCAGGCCUAAUACAUGCAAGUCGCACGGGAGUUUCGGGUAGCAAUAUCUGAAUGAGAGUGGCGCACGGGUGCGUAACACGUAUGCAAUCUACCUUUAACUGGGGAAUAGCUCACCGAAAGGUGAAUUAAUACCGCAUAAAAUCACAGAAGGACAUCCUUCAAUGAUUAAACCCACGGGGGUUAAAGAUGAGCAUGCGUCCGAUUAGCUAGUGGCGGGGUAAUAGCCCACCAAGGCAACGAUCGGUAGGGGGUCUGAGAGGAUGAUCCCCCACACUGGUACUGAGAUACGGACCAGACUCCUACGGGAGGCAGCAGUAAGGAAUAUUGGACAAUGGGCGCAAGCCUGAUCCAGCCAUG